rnacentral:SRP_RNA from 1 species
GGUGGCACCCCACGUGGUGGUACCUCACCGAACUCCCCCAGGGCGGGAACGCAGCAAGGGUAGGCGAGCUCUUCCAGGUACGUGGGGUGUCUUCGCG